UACGGAGGGUGCAAGCGUUAUCCGGAUUUAUUGGGUUUAAAGGGUACGUAGGCGGCUUGUCGCGUCGGCUGUGAAAACCUGGGGCUCAACCCCGGGCCCUGCAGCCGAUACGGGCAAGCUAGAAUUCGGUAGGGGAGACUGGAAUUCCUGGUGUAGCGGUGAAAUGCGCAGAUAUCAGGAGGAACACCGGUGGCGAAGGCGGCGACCUGGUCCUUUUACUGACGCUGAGGCGCGAAAGCGUGGGGAGCAAACAGG
rnacentral:rRNA from 1 species